rnacentral:rRNA from 1 species
UACGGAGGGGGCUAGCGUUGUUCGGAAUUACUGGGCGUAAAGCGCGCGUAGGCGGACCUGCAAGUCGGGGGUGAAGGCCCGAGGCUCAACCUCGGAACUGCCUUCGAUACUGCGGGUCUCGAGUCCGGGAGAGGUGAGUGGAAUUCCUAGUGUAGAGGUGAAAUUCGUAGAUAUUAGGAAGAACACCAGUGGCGAAGGCGGCUCACUGGCCCGGUACUGACGCUGAGGUGCGAAAGCGUGGGGAGCAAACAGG